UACGUAGGGGGCAAGCGUUGUCCGGAUUUAUUGGGCGUAAAGAGCGUGUAGGCGGUUUGGUAGGUCCGCUGUGAAAACUCGAGGCUCAACCUCGAGACGCCGGUGGAAACCAUCAGGCUAGAGUCCGGAAGAGGAGAGUGGAAUUCCUGGUGUAGCGGUGAAAUGCGCAGAUAUCAGGAAGAACACCCGUGGCUAAGGCGGCUCUCUAGUACGGUACUGACGCUGAAGACGCGGAAAGCCGUGGGGAGCGAACAGG
rnacentral:rRNA from 1 species